CGUCUAUGUAGAGGGGAAUCUGCCUCCUCUCAAAGGGGAAUUCUUUCAGCGAGUCAAGCCCGUCUGAUUCGGGGCUGACUCAGGGCAGAGGCCCAGAGAGGACCUGUAUAGGUUGCGAGAAGUCGAGAUCAGAGGGGGCGGAAGGCAGUGAGAAAAGGGAGACGAGCAUCGGGGGGUGAGAGACAAACUCAGGUCUGGCUCUUGGCCCUUGACGCCACUGAAUUCGCGUCCCACGGUGGGAAGAGGAGAAAAGGGCCCUGACACCGCGGCUCGCCAGGGGCCCGCUGCGUAGCUGCAUCCCGAUCCCGCUGAGGGGACAGCAAAUAGUGAAGUGCUGACAGCUUGUGGUUGUCGUUACACUGGAAGGAAAUAGAAAACCGGACAGUGGUGUGUGUGUGUGCGUCUUGGCCAAAGGAACUUCUUGGGCUGGGUUAAUGUGAGCAGGUACUCCUUUGGGCGAAGUACUGGCACUGGCCAACGGCCUUUCCCUCUGGCCGUCUCCGAGGAAGCAGAGCUGCUGUGAAGACAGUUCCUCUCGCCACCGUGUGUUCACUUCUGACCUUGAAGGUUUUGGAGGUCCACUGGGCAUACUUAGUAUCUUUGGACAAAUAGGAAUUCAAUGAAAACGUAUUCUUAAAGGCGAAAAAGGUGGAUUUGCUAGACGCCCGACCUGGCCGCGACCUACCCG
rnacentral:lncRNA from 1 species